UACGGAGGGUGCGAGCGUUGUCCGGAAUCAUUGGGCGUAAAGGGCGCGUAGGUGGCUUCUCAAGCGUGCGGUGAAAGCCUGGGGCUCAACCCCGGGUCGGCCGUGCGAACUGGGGGGGCUUGAGCACUGUAGAGGCAGGCGGAAUUCCGGGUGUAGCGGUGGAAUGCGUAGAGAUCCGGAAGAACACCGGUGGCGAAGGCGGCCUGCUGGGCAGUUUGCUGACACUGAGGCGCGACAGCGUGGGGAGCAAACAGGG
rnacentral:rRNA from 1 species